UACGGAGGGUGCAAGCGUUGUCCGGAUUUAUUGGGUUUAAAGGGUGCGUAGGCGGCUUAUUAAGUCAGUGGUGAAAUCCUGCAGCUUAACUGUAGAAUUGCCAUUGAUACUGAUGAGCUUGAAUUCAGGCGAGGUAGGCGGAAUUGACGGUGUAGCGGUGAAAUGCAUAGAUAUCGUCAAGAACACCGAUUGCGAAGGCAGCUUACUAGACUGACAUUGACGCUGAGGCACGAAAGCGUGGGGAUCAAACAGG
rnacentral:rRNA from 1 species